UUGCGUCACGCCUUCUGAUAAAAGCGACGCCAGUCGUCCGUAUAUAUAUCCACAGCCUCACACACACGCACCUCUACACAUUGUCCCUACAAUCCGCCGCCAUCCUUCCGUGUGCGGCUCACAUUAUCAUCCUCGGAUGCCUGGACGCCUUCUGGGCCUUGACUCCUGCCAACUUCAUGCGAUAUUUUGUCCAAUGCUGCAUUUAAAGCGUGUGCCUUGCUUGUCCUUUACUCAGAUGGAGACUGUUGAGGAACCUGCGUCUCUUUGGGUGGCUGAUGCUGGUUUGGCAGUGGUUCGGCCUGGAUGAAGACGAACCAAUGAAGUGUGGAGAGUUGAGACCUCACUGUCUGAGAAAUGGUCAAGCUUGACCAGCGACUGACCGAUCUCCUGAGCUCUGUCAGGUGAACGCACAUGGCAGCCAGCGACUCCUGGUGCCGAUAUUCACGGUGGACGGUGCAGUCUCCUGGCAAAGAUGGACUUGAGGAAUCAAGAAGCUGAGCGAGUCUUCAGAGGUUUGGUUGCCAUGAUGAAGAGUAGCAUUGAUAACCAACUUCAAAUCGAGGACACUUGCCUUGAGCGUUAACUUUCCUCCAGAGAUGGAGACUGUUGAGGAACCUGCGUCUCUUUGGAACAUGGACUUGUCUGUUUCCGGUGCCGAUAUUCAUAAUGGAUGGUGCAGUCUCCUGGCAAAGGUGGACUUGAAGGGUCAAGUGGAAGCUGAGCAAGUCUUCAGAGGCUGGGUUGCCAUGGUGAUGCCCCCAUUUCAGAACCGAACUCCAGCUCUGCUGCAGAAGAUUUACAGUCAAUGUCAAAUAAAACUUAAAAAUUU